GAUGAACGCUGGCGGCGUGCCUAACACAUGCAAGUCGAACGAAGCUUGACGGAUGAUUUCUUCGGAAUAAAACCAGAUAUGACUUAGUGGCGGACGGGUGAGUAACACGUGAGCAACCUGCCUUUCAGAGGGGGAUAACGGCUGGAAACGGUCGCUAAUACCGCACGAUGUGUUCGGAUGGCAUCAUCUGAACAUCAAAGAUUUAUCGCUGAAAGAUGGGCUCGCGUCUGAUUAGAUAGUUGGUGGGGUAACGGCCUACCAAGUCUACGAUCAGUAGCCGGACUGAGAGGUUGAACGGCCACAUUGGGACUGGGAUACGGCCCAGACUCCUACGGGAGGCAGCAGUGGGGAAUAUUGCACAAUGGGGGAAACCCUGAUGCAGCAACGCCGCGUGAAGGAUGACGGUUUUCGGAUUGUAAACUUCUUUUCUUAGUGACGAAGACAGUGACGGUAGCUAAGGAAUAAGCAUCGGCUAACUACGUG
rnacentral:rRNA from 1 species